AAUUACCUUAUGUUCUUGAAAUCUAUCUGGUACUUCCCAAGAUUAAUCUCUGAGGAGUUGUUGGCAGUGUUUGUUUUCAUGCUGGAAAUAUGAACAUAUUUAACAGUUGUGUAAUAGCAGUGAUCCCUUUAAACAAGUUUCAGAAGUCCCCCGUGGAGUGGUCACAGAAUUGCAGGACCAGGUUGGAUCUAGGCUGGAAAAGCUCUCCCAGGCCAUCGACUCCAUCCUGUGCCCGAUCCCCACCUUGUCACCAGCCCAGAGCACUGCGUGCCUGUCCUGGUUUGACAGUGCCAUGUCCAGGCCUUCCUUGAACACCUCCAGGGAUGGGGACUCCACCACCUCCCUGGGCAGCCCCUUCCAGUGUUUAAUAACCUUUUCUGUGAAGAAAUUCUCUCAGCCCCUUCUUUUGGGUGUUGGUGUCAGUGGGGUUGUUCUAGUGGUGCUUUUGACCCAGGGUAAAUGUCCAUCUCCAUGGUCAGGUUUGAAGAUGUAUUUAUGUUUGAAGACUUAUUUAUCUUUAAGGGCAGUGUAGAAUUUUUCAUCUAUGCUUUUAUUUGUAUUCAAAGAACAGUCUCUAAAUAUGUUGUGGCAAAUGUGUAUUUUUUUAUAAAAAUACCCACCUGUAAAUAUUGAUUACCAUGACUUCUUUGCACCAAAUUACAGUGUGCCUGUGCCAGGGCAUGAGUCACCUGCCGCCCCACAGUUGUCACCCAGGAGUCUGACACUUGUGUAUCUUUUUAUAGGUUUGACUUAAACAUAAUGACUUACUCAUUUCCCUCCAUUCCUCUUACAGAAAUUCAGUCUCAAGACAUCUCAAAAGUCAUGUGUGGAUUGUUGAGGCUUUUAAAAAGGGACAGCCUGUUCUUCCUGGAGAGAAAUCAGAGGUGUUGGGUUUGAGUGGUCUCUGAUGGGACUGGAAAAAUAGGCAUAAGUGAUUCCACAUGAUCCAUGUUUGUUCCCCUGCGAGCAAUGGCCCUACCUUGCCAUGUCAUUGUGUGCAGGUACCUGUGAGGAGUUGUGUCUUCUCACAGUAGUAAGAACUGAUGGUUGGUGUAGGAGCUCUGCUGUGGUGCAGGUCUGAUCUUCAGCUGCCCAUGAUUUACUGAAGGCUUCUCUGCUGAUGUAUGAUGUGCUGCUCUGCUACACUAUUUACAAUUAUCUUAUACUGGGUUGAAUGAAACACUCAUUUCCUUUCAGAGUGUGUUUGGUUUCUGUGAGUGCUCAGGGGUGAGCUCAAAGGGCUUAUUUUGGCUCAACAAAAUGUGCAGGAGAUUGUCUGCCUUCCUUGCUGGCCCCACGUCAUGAUUUUUCUUCCUUCUUCUUUAUUGAGGAAGAGAAGUCUUUAUUGGUGAGCCAGCAUGGCCUGUGAGGGAUGGGGAGACAGAGCUGGGAUUUUGGAGAUCUGACUGUUAUCCCACAGUAAUUAACUGUGUGCCCAGACAGGUCAUUUAAUGCCCCAUUCCUUCAUUUCUUCUCUGGCUUUUCUGUGCAGACUCCUCCAUCAGGUGAAUGUUUCUGCUGGAACUGUGGAGUUCAAUCAGUGCUGGGACUGCAGAGCUCAGUCCAUGCUGGGAUUCCCAAGCAGAACUGGAACUAAGUCACUGAAUGGAAAAGUGGGUUUGUUUGCUUUCUUUAAUGAUAGUAAUCACUCAGGUGCUGGUGUCUUAUCCUGUAUUCUCUUCUGAUUUACUGAAAUAAUUUGUCCUGAAGUUUUGAUGCUAUUGAGCCCUCAUGUCCAUGGAGAAUAGAUGCUGGAGAUCUAUUUAAAAUAACUGGUAAUGGAUGUCUUAGAAAUCCUGUCCCUGUUCCCCAUAAAGACUGGGGGGUAAGCCUUGAGGCAAGGUUCAGAUGGUGCUUUUCAGGAAAAGCUUGUAUUUAGCAGCUUAUUUUGGAUUCCUUCUCUUUAAUCUGUGAAGAAUUUGAUUUAUACCAGCAGCUGUUCCUUGUGAAAUCAUGAAAGUGAGUUUGUGAACCAGAAGAGAGGGUGGCCUGACCAGCGAGGUGGCUUUAGGGGAAUGUUACUUUCCCAUAUUUAGGAUAUUACAAAGCAUACAAACAAGUGUUCUCUUUAGCUUCUGGGGCUGGGUUUGUCUGCAGUCUUUUUUUCCCCUGAAGAGCAGCAUCCUCUCAAGCACUGUUCACAAGCCUGUAACUCCAAGCAGUCACUGAGAUGUGUGUUUAAAAGUCUAUGCAUGGCCAACUGCAGCAAGGCAGGCAACAAUGGAGCAUCCUUAUGGAUCCUUUAUCUUGUAGGCAGGUCUUGAAUCAUGACAUGGCAGCUUCAGGUUGUUUACCUGAGCUCUGGUGAUUGAAGCUGUUACCAUUAAAUCUGUGAUAACCCCUUGAGGGGUGUGUUGAUUUGGCAGGGCCUGGUGUUUUGGUAAUGGCAGGGGAGGAAACCAUGGGGGGGCACAAGGGUGGCUUCUGUGGGAAGCUGCUAGGAGCUCCCACCAUGUCCAGCAGAGCCAAUCUCUCCAAUCUCUGAUGGCUCUGAGGAUGGACAUGCUGCUGGCCCAAUUUAGAGAGGUUGGUAACGCCUUGGGGAUGACAUACUUCAGAAGAAAAUCAAAACAGCAUGUGCACAGCUUUCUCUGAGGGGUGGGGAGGUGCUGUGGCCACCAGCGCGGCCUGCAGGAGCCGUGCCUGCCUGGCCGCCCUAGCCGGCCGUGUUGCGGCACUGGGCAGGGCCGGCGCUUCUCCUUCCCGGCGCUUCUCCUUCCCGGCGCUUCUCCUUCCCGGCGCUUCUCCUUCCCGGCGCUUCUCCUUCCCGGCGCUUCUCCUUCCCGGCGCUUCUCCUUCCCGGCGCUUCUCCUUCCCGGCGCUUCUCCUUCCCGGCGCUUCUCCUUCCCGCUCCCGCGCGAGGAGAGGCGUUGAACAGCGCCAGCGCCAUGGCCGCUGCUGUCUGUGCCAUGGUGCUGGGGCCGUGUGGCCAACAGUGAAAACGUGGCGGGUGACUGCCCUAUGCAGAACCUGGAUGAAAUCAACCUCUUGGUGCUGUGGGAUCUGCAAGAAUCUUUGAAUUAGUGGAACUGGCAAUGGUACUUACGAGCAGCAGUUUUUCUUAUGGAAGAGAGGACAUGUGAGGGAGACAACAUGGCGGCACCAAGGUCAGUGGAAAAAGAGGGGGAGGAAUUGCUGCAAAGCGCCAGAGCCGAGAUUCCUCUGGAGGCCAUGGUGAGGGCUAUGGUGAAACAAACUCUGCCUUAUAAUGCGUGAGGUCCACAGGGGAUGCAGAGAUCCACUCGCAGCCCGUGGGAAAAGUGCUCCCAAUGGAGCGAGUGGAUGCAGGAGAACACUGUGAUCCAGUGGGAGACCCAAACGAAGAGAGAAGGUUCCUGCUUCCAGAAAUAGACAGAGAAGGCCCUUACAUCCAAACUAAAGGAGCCUAGCCUUAAAAGACUACAGCGUGUGGAUGAGUGACAUUUUGGGAAGAUUGUAUGCCCGUGGGAGGGGAGGAGACUUCCUGAGCGAACAGGAGAUCUCGAGUGAUGAACUGACCAAAACCCCCAUGUGCUGUCUCCCUGUGCUGUCAGUGGGAAAGAGGUCAGAGCUAGGAAAAAAAAAGGAUGUUUUAAAGGCUUAUUUUGCUUCUCAUUAUCCUCCUCUAUUUCUGUUAAUAAUAAAUUUA
rnacentral:lncRNA from 1 species